rnacentral:rRNA from 1 species
CACGUAGUUAGCCGGGGCUUCUUAGUCAGGUACCGUCAUUUUCUUUCCUGCUGAUAGGGCUUUACAUACCGAAAUACUUCUUCACUCACGCGGCGUCGCUGCAUCAGGGUUUCCCCCAUUGUGCAAUAUUCCCCACUGCUGCCUCCCGUAGGAGUUUGGGCCGUGUCUCAGUCCCAAUGUGGCCGUUCACCCUCUCAGGCCGGCUACUGAUCGUCGCCUUGGUGGGCCUCUACCCCGCCAACAAGCUAAUCAGACGCGGGUCCAUCGUAUACCACCGGAGUUUUUCACACCGGACCAUGCGAUCCUGUGCGCUUAUGCGGUUUUAGCACCUAUUUCUAAGUGUUAUCCCCCUGUAUACGGCAGGUUACCCACGCGUUACUCACCCGUCCGCCACUAACAGAUAAAUCACUAGGUUUCAUUACCUGUCCGUUCGACUUGCAUGUGUUAAGCACGCCGCCAGCGUUCAUCCUGAGCCAGGAUCAAACUCU